rnacentral:tRNA from 1 species
GCGAAUAUAGAUAAAAAGGUAAAAUCAUUAAUUUUCCAAAUUAAAAGUUGCGGGUUCGAAUCCCGCUAUUCGCU